UGGGGAAUAUUGCACAAUGGAGGGAACUCUGAUGCAGCGACGCCGCGUGAACGAAGAAGGCUUUCGAGUCGUAAAGUUCUUUUAUAUGGGAAGAUAAUGACGGUACCAUAAGAAAAAGCCCCGGCUAACUACGUGCCAGCAGCCGCGGUAAUACGUAGGAGGCUAGCGUUGUCCGGAAUCACUGGGCGUAAAGGGUUCGCAGGCGGAAAUGCAAGUCAGGUGUAAAAGGCAGUAGCUUAACUACUGUAAGCAUUUGAAACUGCAUAUCUUGAGAAGAGUAGAGGUAAGUGGAAUUUUUAGUGUAGCGGUGAAAUGCGUAGAUAUUAAAAAGAAUACCGGUGGCGAAGGCGACUUACUGGGCUCAUUCUGACGCUGAGGAACGAAAGCGUGGGUAGCAAACAGG
rnacentral:rRNA from 2 species